UGUUCCUGUGCACACUGUUGUGACUGGAUUCUGUGGCUGUGGUUGCUGAAGUCUGGUUGUGCCAGGAUGCUUUGUUUCACUCAGUGCAGAAGAAGAUGUCAAGCAGUAAUUUUUGUGGAUGUCCCCACAGCUACUUUGGUUCUACCUUGCUAUUAGAGGGGUAUGAGCACAAAGAUAGAUUUGCUGCUCCAGCUGGAAAAGCUCAGGCAAGGAGGAACGACAUGGCUUCCCCAAGGUGAUCUGUUGAGUUGGUGUCAGAUUGGGAGGAAGAUCCUGUGUUUCCUGCCUGCUGUGUGGAUGCUGUGCCUCAUCGUGCUGGUAAGGUGAUGAGAAGAAGCAGCUUGAUGAGCCCCAAGAACAAAAAUCUCCAUUUACUUGCACUUAUAAACUCUUACCUGCUUUACCAAGGCAUCCUGCAUCUGCCAAGAAAAGUUUGUUCUGGAAAAAGGAAAGAUCUGCUGUGAGAUUACACUGAGGCACCUGAUUUCUAAGGACCCAGAAAUAAGAGAAGGUAUCCCAGAUAACUGAGACAAGCACCCUAAUACAGGAACACA